rnacentral:rRNA from 1 species
GAUGAACGCUGGCGGCGUGCCUAAUACAUGCAAGUCGAGCGAACAGACGAGGAGCUUGCUCCUCUGACGUUAGCGGCGGACGGGUGAGUAACACGUGGAUAACCUACCUAUAAGACUGGGAUAACUUCGGGAAACCGGAGCUAAUACCGGAUAAUAUAUUGAACCGCAUGGUUCAAUAGUGAAAGACGGUUUUGCUGUCACUUAUAGAUGGAUCCGCGCCGCAUUAGCUAGUUGGUAAGGUAACGGCUUACCAAGGCAACGAUGCGUAGCCGACCUGAGAGGGUGAUCGGCCACACUGGAACUGAGACACGGUCCAGACUCCUACGGGAGGCAGCAGGAGGGAAUCUUCCGCAAUGGGCGAAAGCCUGACGGAGCAACGCCGCGUGAGUGAUGAAGGUCUGCGGAUCGUAAAACUCUGUUAUUAGGGAAGAACAAAUGUGUAAGUAACUAUGCACGUCUUGACGGUACCUAAUCAGAAAGCCACGGCUAACUACGU